rnacentral:misc_RNA from 1 species
UUCAGCUUCUUGCUUUUCAUACUCACUUCCUUCAUCCUUCUCUACACUGCUUGCUUUACUUCCCUCUAAACAUCGAUCAAGAUCAGACCCAUUUCUAUUUCCAUCAUAUAUAACACCAUCACUACCAGACAAACCCCUACCAACGCCGGAGACGACCACCGGGAGUAUCUUGCCAAACAGCUUGAUCUCUGAAUCACAAGUCAUUUUCCAGACUAAAACGAAAAGGGUAUUCAAAAAAACGAAAAGGGAAACUGUAGAAACAGUCUAUUAUUCUGGGGAUUCUCGUUUAGUAUCCGACGAAGUCGCCGCCGGCGAGUUGACGACGUUUCAAAAGUGGA